AAUAAUUCAAAAGGGGGGGGGGGGGAGACCCCACUCAUGACACUCACAAAUAGAAGACAGAUGUAAAUUGGCAAACAGUGCAGUCUAGAAGAAAAUACAAUUUCUGAUCUUUUUUUUCCAAACA